rnacentral:misc_RNA from 1 species
GAUUGCUUCAAUUGUUUACCAGUAGCUGCAGUGGUCGACGACAAAAUCCUCUGUAUGCAUGGUGGUCUCUCACCAGAAAUGGAGAGCUUGGAUCAGAUCAGAGCUAUAGAAAGGCCGGUUGAUGUGCCAGACCAGGGCCUUUUAUGUGACCUCCUAUGGGCUGAUCCUGAUAGAGACAUCAAAGGGUGGGGUGAGAAUGAUAGGGGUGUCUCCUAUACCUUUGGAGCUGAUAAAGUGGCUGAAGUUUUGAAGAAACAUGGUCUUGAUCUCAUAUG